rnacentral:ribozyme from 1 species
UAGAGAUAGGUUCCAUGCUUGAUUAAUUACUGUUCUGACUGUUUUGUUUUUGUAUUUAUGUUUGCGUUUGUUUUUAUUGUAUCUUUUGGCAGGAUUGAUUGAGCACCUUUUUCAAAAUAAAGAAGGAUGCAGUAUCAAAAGAAUGAGGUGCCGAAUGCCAAAUGCCAACGAACUCUUUUUUUUUUAUUUGAU